rnacentral:lncRNA from 1 species
UGCGCCUCAAUUGCCAGCUUACAGGGUGGCGUGUGAUGGGAUGUGGUAGAGGUAUAUUUGUUAUAAUAUUCAUAAUAUUGUUUGUGAUUUGUCAUUGCAUAAAUAUUCAGCAAAAUAUGGUUCCUUAUUAAGAGCUUAUAGUUUUAGCAUGAGGUGACAAAUAAAAGGGAUAAACAUUUUUUUGUUGUCCUGUGUCUUGAUUUACAUCAUAAGCACUUUGGGCUGGAACCAUCUUUACAUUCUGUCUUUACACAGUGUUUAGCCUACAGUACUCAACCAGGAUCUCAGUUGCUUUUAUAUUACAAAUAGCAAUCGUGUAUCUGUGAAAUGAUACUAACCAGAAGUCACAGUAUAGCAAUAAUCUAUACCCUUGGGGAGUUUUUAUGCAUAGUGCAGUACAAUGGAGUUUUUAGGAGAGACUUGGUGACUAACGAAGCCAUGUUUUUAUAGGAAGAUGGGAGGGUUCUAUGCAUUUGGGCAGCACAGAAGAACUAUUGUUGAAUUAUAUCUGUAAAUAGGUAGCUUAAAUAGUGGCUAAUCAUCCCAUGAAACCUGUUUAAGUGGUGCCAUUAAAUGCAAUGCGUGUGUACGUUCAGGAAUUUCUGUAGCUAAGCAGGUGAGAUUAAUCAUAAUGUUAAUGAGUUUGUCUGUAUGGUAACUUCCUACUGAAAGCUGAAAGUGUGUUUUCUGAACAUCGCUAAUGUUCCUUGUACUUUUGCUGUAUUAUCUUCCCACACCCAUUCUUUUUGUAGGGUGAAAGGGGAUUCCCGGGCUUGGAAGGACAGCCAGGUUUGCCUGGAUUUCCAGGACCAGAAGGGCCUCCUGGUCCAAGAGGUCCAAAGGGUGAUGAUGGACUUCCAGGACCUAUUGGACCCAAAGGAAUUAGAGGACCGCCAGGGCUUCCAGGAUUUCCAGGAACACCAGGACUUCCUGGAUUACCAGGACAAGAUGGGCCACCAGGACCUCAGGGUAUCCCAGGCUGCAAUGGAACUAAGGUGGAAUCCCUUUAAAAUUCGUAUCAGGACAACAGUAAUAUGAUAAAGAGCUCUUGUUCUUCUGAGAAUGGGUUUCGUUUAUUGUGUGAAGUAGCACUUGCUGUUGCUGAUUUGUGCAGGUAAUUCCAGGCACUUCCACAUGCAUCUGAGGGAAGAGGUCAUGAUCUGGUAACUAAAGCACCAGUUGCUGGUGAUAAAUUGCCAGCAUCAAGUCACAUCAUUUGUACUCAGCAACUUCUUUGUUACUUUCAUCCAAUCCUUAAUUUUACAGCUAACAACUGAGAGAAGUGUGUUGUGAUUAGAGUCAUAUGCUGCAUCUGAUCUUUGUAGUAGGGUCUUGCUACCAAGGAAAACAU